AAACCAAACUCAAAGACCAUGACCACACUAAUAUCCGCUGGUGUGGUUAUUAUGCAAUGAAAACUACAAAUACAUAUGGACCAAAAGCCUACUAAAACUUGAAGAAAAUAAUAAAUUAAAGAAAUUCCAAGCUUUACCAUAAACAGCUGUAACUUAAAUCUUAAAUCCCUUGGACACACUUUACAGGAGGUGCUUUCUCUAUCACUGGACAUGAACAGGAAGUCAAUGGGAUGAAGCCAGAGCAGAAGAUGACUGAGCAGAAAUUAACAAAGUACAUCAGUCCCAGCAUGUCCUUGAGGAGUACCUGGAACAACUAAUCUCGGGAGUCUGUGCUUCCUCUAGAGUACCAGUCAUGCUUUGAGACAAAAAAAAAAGACAGGACCGAGAGGAGGAUUUAAAGACUGUGUGGGAGGCGUGGUCAGAGCAACAAUAACAAUGACCAGUCUUUGUUAGAUGCCUACUGCUCCUCAGGCAGUAAUCCCAUUGAAUACACCUCCUCAAACACAGGCCCACAUGUGAUGAAGACAGGAUUCUAAGGUUUGGCACUUCUUCAAAUUGGAUUAGUUGGAGGAUGUUUCAAAGGUGGAAAGUUAUGUGUGUUACCCUUGGCACUGGAUGAUUGCAACAGUAAGGGGCAACUGGGAUAUUUCUCCAGAGCUUCUACAACAACAAAUUGAGAGUUUCACAAGCACCUGGGGCCCAGCAGACGUUGGGAAGCCUAUUCUGGGACUCGCCUCCAUCUAAAUGAUUUGAAAAUUCAGCUCCUGAACACAGCCAGAUUGCUGUCAGCAAUUCGAAUAAGUUUUAACAACACUGGAUCCACCUCAAGGUUAUUUCUUCAAUAUCAUACAGAAAAUAUUGUAAAUGAAGGAAAUAUGAUGCAAGAAUAAUGAGGAAGAGAGGAGAAGGAAAAAAG
rnacentral:lncRNA from 10 species